UGCGUAGGCGGGUCUUUAAGUCAGAGGUGAAAGCCUGGAGCUCAACUCCAGAACUGCCUUUGAUACUGGAAGUCUUGAGUUCGGGAGAGGUGAGUGGAACUGCGAGUGUAGAGGUGAAAUUCGUAGAUAUUCGCAAGAACACCAGUGGCGAAGGCGGCUCACUGGCCCGAUACUGACGCUGAGGCACGAAAGCGUGGGAGCAAACA
rnacentral:rRNA from 1 species